rnacentral:rRNA from 1 species
GGAAUAUUGGACAAUGGGCGCAAGCCUGAUCCAGCCAUGCCGCGUGAGUGAUGAAGGCCCUAGGGUUGUAAAGCUCUUUCAGCGGGGAAGAUAAUGACUGUACCCAGUAAAGAAGUCCCGGCUAACUCCGUGCCAGAAGCCGCGGUAAUACGGAGGGGACUAGCGUUGUUCGGAAUUACUGGGCGUAAAGCGCACGUAGGCGGACCGAAAAGUCAGAGGUGAAAUCCCAGGGCUCAACCUUGGAACUGCCUUUGAAACUGCCGGUCUAGAGUUCGAGAGAGGUGAGUGGAAUUCCGAGUGUAGAGGUGAAAUUCGUAGAUAUUCGGAGGAACACCAGUGGCGGAGGCGGCUCACUGGCUCGAUACUGACGCUGAGGUGCGAAAGCGUGGGGAGCA